rnacentral:rRNA from 1 species
UACGAAGGGAGCUAGCGUUGUUCGGAAUUACUGGGCGUAAAGGGCGCGUAGGCGGCUUGGCAAGUCAGAUGUGAAAGCCCCGGGCUUAACCUGGGAACUGCGUUUGAGACUGCCUGGCUUGAAUUCGGGAGAGGUGAGUGGAAUUCCCAGUGUAGAGGUGGAAUUCGUAGAGAUCAGGAAGAAUACCAAUAGCGAAGGCAAGCUCCUGGCCGAUGACUGACGCUGAGGUGCGAAAGUGUGGGGAUCAAAC